ensembl:lncRNA
ACAAACCACCACUUUUGUGCAGGAAUGGCAUAAAAAUGCCAGUUCCGCUUGGGGAGCCUAAUCUCACAUAGAUGAGGAGAUUAACAACAGUCCUCAGAUGCAUGCAAAGAACCCUCCGAGAACUAUUGAAGAAAGAUGUUGCAAGAUUAACAUAUCUUCUGCUACAAAAAGGGAGCUAUGCAGGGGUUAAGAGUCAGCCGCUCGUUGCUCUGGCUAAGCCGCGAGAAAAUCACCGUGGGAAAAGAAUAAAAGGAAAAUAUAGCAGUAGAGCAUAACGCAGAUAAAAGUACAUCAGGUUGAUCAGUUGGGGUUGUCAUGCCCUGCUAAGGAAAAACGUAGUUUGGACCUUGGAACGCUGGGUCAGCGCAAGUUCAAAACGCUGCUGUGCACACACUAAGAUGUUUUCCCAAGGCACAUGCGGGUCUAUGACCUCCAGCCAGGUGAUAACCCUUGUACAAGAAAAUAACAAAGAUAGUUUAAAGUAAUCAAUAAAACGGGAGACGUGACCGGGGACACAGGAGGCUGACUUCAUCGUAGCCCAGCAGAUACUUUCUGCUUGCCAAGAAACUAAAUUAAAGUGAUGCGGCUCCGAGGAACAGGGGCUCUUGAUCCAAGAGGUCUUGAGUCCCCCAGUCCCAUC